GACGAACGUUGGCGGCGUGCUUAAUACAUGCAAGUCAACUGAAGCAGUGGUAGCAAUAUCGCUGUGGAGGUGGCGCACGGGUGAGUAACACGUAGGUAAUCUGCCUUCAGGUCUGGCAUAACUCCGGGAAACCGGGGCUAAUAGCAGAUGAUGCAGCGGCUCGACAUCGAGACAGUUGUUAAAGCUAUGGCGCCUGAAGAUGUGCCUGCGUCUGAUUAGCUAGUUGGCGGGGUAACGGCCCACCAAGGCAACGAUCAGUAGCUGGUCUGAGAGGAUGAUCAGCCACACUGGAACUGAGACACGGUCCAGACUCCUACGGGAGGCAGCAGUAAGGAAUAUUGCUCAAUGGGAGAAAUCCUGAAGCAGCAACGCCGCGUGAGGGACGAAGGGCUUUUGCUUGUAAACCUCUGUAGUGAGAGAAAAAAAUCCCAAUCUUUGGGACAUGAUGGUAUCUCAAAAGUAAGCCCCGGCUAACUACGUG
rnacentral:rRNA from 1 species